CAAUAAGCGGAGGAAAAGAAACCAACAGGGAUUGCCCUAGUAACGGCGAGUGAAGCGGCAACAGCUCAAAUUUGAAAUCUGGCUACCUUUCGUAGUCCGAGUUGUAAUUUGUAGAGGAUGCUUUUGGUGAGGUGCCUUCCGAGUUCCCUGGAACGGGACGCCAUAGAGGGUGAGAGCCCCGUACGGUUGGAUACCAAGCCUCUGUAUAGCUCCUUCAACGAGUCGAGUAGUUUGGGAAUGCUGCUCUAAAUGGGAGGUAUAUCUCUUCUAAAGCUAAAUAUAGGCUAGAGACCGAUAGCGCACAAGUAGAGUGAUCGAAAGAUGAAAAGCACUUUGAAAAGAGAGUUAAACAGCACGUGAAAUUGUUGAAAGGGAAGCGCCUAUGACCAGACUUGUUUCUGGCAGUUUGUUAGCCCUCGGGCUGAUUUACUCUGUCCAGUACAGGCCAGCAUCAGUUUGCUGUCGGGGAGAAAGGCUCUGGGAACGUAGCUCCCCCCUUCUGGGGGGAGUGUUAUAGCCCUCUGCAUAAUACCCUUCGGCAGACUGAGG
rnacentral:rRNA from 1 species